GACGAACGCUGGCGGCGUGCUUAACACAUGCAAGUCGAACGGAAAGGCCCUGCUUUUGUGGGGUGCUCGAGUGGCGAACGGGUGAGUAACACGUGAGUUACCUGCCCUUGACUUUGGGAUAACUUCAGGAAACUGGGGCUAAUACCGGAUAGGAGCUCCUGUUGCAUGGUGGGGGUUGGAAAGUUUCGGCGGUUGGGGAUGGACUCGGGGCUUAUCAGCUUGUUGGUGGGGUAGUGGCUUACCAAGGCUUGGACGGGUAGCCGGCCUGGGAGGGUGACCGGGCACAUUGGGACUGAGAUACGGCCCAGACUCCUACGGGAGGCAGCAGUGGGGAAUAUUGCACAAUGGGCGGAAGCCUGAUGCAGCAACGCCGCGUGCGGGAUGACGGCCUUCUGGUUGUAAACAGCUUUCGCCUGUGACGAAGAGUGAGUGACGGUAAUGGGUAAAGAAGCACCGGCUAACUACGUG
rnacentral:rRNA from 1 species